GGCGUCGGAAGGGUCCAGUGUUCGUCUGCGGGCCGUGGAAGUCACACGGCUGGAGACGGCACAGGAGCCUUCCGAAGCUGAUCUGCUGGCUGUGUCCAUGGAACUGGACACUGAAGCUAUAAUGGGAAGGACUUGGAAGCUGUAAGCUCCCUCUUCCUCUGCUCCGGAGGUCCCUGCGCCACCCCAGCGCUCCCUGCCGACGGCUGAACCGGAAAAGCAGCCAGUGCCUACUGCUGACGUGCUUCUGCCCGAGGGCUGGAAGCAGACGCUGCCCAGAGAGCAGCAUCAGUGGGUCAGCCGGGCGCUCUUCACCAGAGAGCAGUCUGGGAGGCCGGCGCUGCCCAAGAAUCUGAGUCUGUGGUGGUCGACUCCCGGACCCUGGCUGGUAUAUGCGCAACCUCCGUCUUCGCCCGACGCCUU